UACGUAGGGGGCAAGCGUUAUCCGGAUUUACUGGGUGUAAAGGGAGCGUAGACGGUUAUGCAAGUCAGAAGUGAAAGCCCAAAGCUCAACUUCGGGACUGCUUUUGAAACUGUGUAACUAGAGUGCAGGAGGGGUAAGCGGAACUCCUAGUGUAGCGGUGAAAUGCGUAGAUAUUAGGAGGAACACCGGCGGCGAAGGCGGCUUACUGGACUGUAACUGACGUUGAGGCUCGAAAGCGUGGGGAGCAAACAGG
rnacentral:rRNA from 1 species